ACCGUGAGGGAAAGGCGAAAAGAACCCCGGCGAGGGGAGUGAAAAAGAACCUGAAACCGUGUACGUACAAGCAGUGGGAGCCCCACCACCAAAGCAUUCUCUGGUGUUGAAGGCCCUGCAAAGCAGCAUCGCGGUGGCGGAGCGUCGUUUGCGACGCCCAACACACAAAACAAGCGGUGAAUGCUUUGGGGUGGGGUGACUGCGUACCUUUUGUAUAAUGGGUCAGCGACUUAUAUUCUGUAGCAAGGUUAACCGAAUAGGGGAGCCGGAGGGAAACCGAGUCUUAAUUGGGCGUUAAGUUGCAGGGUAUAGACCCGAAACCCGGUGAUCUAGCCAUGGGCAGGUUGAAGGUUGGGUAACACUAACUGGAGGACCGAACCGACUAAUGUUGAAAAAUUAGCGGAUGACCUGUGGCUGGGGGUGAAAGGCCAAUCAAACCGGGAGAUAGCUGGUUCUCCCCGAAAGCUAUUUAGGUAGCGCCUCGUGAAUUCAUCUCCGGGGGUAGAGCACUGUUUCGGCUAGGGGGCCAUCCCGGCUUACCAACCCGAUGCAAACUGCGAAUACCGGAGAAUGUUAUCACGGGAGACACACGGCGGGUGCUAACGUCCGUCGUGAAGAGGGAAACAACCCAGACCGCCAGCUAAGGUCCCAAAGUCAUGGUUAAGUGGGAAACGAUGUGGGAAGGCCCAGACAGCCAGGAUGUUGGCUUAGAAGCAGCCAUCAUUUAAAGAAAGCGUAAUAGCUCACUGGUCGAGUCGGCCUGCGCGGAAGAUGUAACGGGGCUAAACCAUGCACCGAAGCUGCGGCAGCGAACGUAUCACCCAAGACAACUUUACGGAGUUGACGAUUGACGGAGCGAAGCGACGUCAAAGCGUUCAUUAAAGUCGAGUUGGCUUAGGGAUACGUUCGUUGGGUAGGGGAGCGUUCUGUAAGCCUGUGAAGGUGUGUCGUGAGGCAUGCUGGAGGUAUCAGAAGUGCGAAUGCUGACAUAAGUAACGAUAAAGCGGGUGAAAAGCCCGCUCGCCGGAAGACCAAGGGUUCCUGUCCAACGUUAAUCGGGGCAGGGUGAGUCGACCCCUAAGGCGAGGCCGAAAGGCGUAGUCGAUGGGAAACGGGUUAAUAUUCCCGUACUUGGUGUUACUGCGAAGGGGGGACGGAGAAGGCUAUGUUGGCCGGGCGACGGUUGUCCCGGUUUAAGCGUGUAGGUGUGUGUUCCAGGUAAAUCCGGUUCACUUUAACACUGAGGCGUGACGACGAGGCACUACGGUGCUGAAGCAACAAAUGCCCUGCUUCCAGGAAAA
rnacentral:rRNA from 1 species